rnacentral:rRNA from 1 species
AUUGAACGCUGGCGGCAUGCCUUACACAUGCAAGUCGAACGGCAGCACGGGAGCAAUCCUGGUGGCGAGUGGCGAACGGGUGAGUAAUAUAUCGGAACGUGCCCAGUCGUGGGGGAUAACGCAGCGAAAGCUGUGCUACUACCGCAUACUAUCUAAGGAUGAAAGCGGGGGAUCGCAAGACCUCGCUCGAUCGGAGAGGCCGAUAUCAGAUUAGCUAGUUGGUGGGGUAAAGGCCCACCAAGGCGACGAUCUGUAGCUGGUCUGAGAGGACGACCAGCCACACUGGAACUGAGACUCGGUCCAGACUCCUACGGGAGGCAGCAGUGGGGAAUUUUGGACAAUGGGCGCAAGCCUGAUCCAGCAAUGCCGCGUGCAGGAUGAAGGCCUUCGGGUUGUAAACUGCUUUUGUACGGAACGAAACGGCCCUUUCUAAUACAGGGGGCUAAUGACGGUACCGUAAGAAUAAGCACCGGCUAACUACGUGCCAGCAGCCGCCGUAAUAC